CAAGAUCAUUGCAUUCAUCUCUCUCAUCUUACAGGCAACCAAGCAGAAGCCAAGUGAGGUACUGCACAAGGAGCCAGUGAGUAUCCUGUUCUUGUAUCCACGGCGUCUUGUGCUGCACCCAGAGCCCACAGCCUUACUAUUCCAUCCUCUUGGAUGUCUUCAGCAGGCAGCUGAGAAAGAUCAGAGAGAGGGAUCCCCAGUGUGGUGGCUUUCCCAGAAAGCUCUCUCAAGUUACCUGGAGAUGGCACGGGGCAAGGCGGAGCUCAGCCAGGCCUUCCGUCACAGAAGAUAACAUUGUGCUUCUCCAUUUUCAUGUCUGCUGUGCUUGCUGCUGGGACUGGUUUCAGCCUCUGGAGUCAAGUUUGCCUUUUAUAAGAAUGCUUUUAAACAAUACUCGGCUCCCCACUGCCAACCAUCUUAAUUCCUAUCCCACGUAUUAUACAUGAUUAAAGAUUUCCC
rnacentral:lncRNA from 1 species